CUGGCUCAGAGCGAACGCUGGCGGCAGGCUUAACACAUGCAAGUCGAGCGGACCUUUCGGGGUCAGCGGCGGACGGGUGAGUAACG
rnacentral:rRNA from 1 species